CAGUCCCAAUGGCUGCAGGAUAAACAGCUCAAGCCUUCAGCAAGCAGCAGCAGAAAAUGGAGAGGGGGCACCACCACUCAUCCUACAGAGAUCUACCACUCUGGCACACAAGCUCUCAUGGAUGUGCUUGGCGAAUGGAUAUCUUAGGUGCCACCCAACAUUCAUGAAGUAAGAAUUGUUGGUCGAUUGCUGCUGAAAAAGGUGAUCUAACAGGAUACCGUGGUCGACGGUAUCAGAAGCCGCUGAGAGAUCCAGGAGGACAAGAAAGGUGAAUUCUCCCCUGUCUAAUGCCCUCCUCAUAUCAUCUACCAGAGCGACCAAGGCUGUUUCAGUACCAUGUCCAGUGGUCCAGAAAGUGCUAGCAAGCUUCCACAACAGCAGUGACUAUGGAU